CCAACCUUUUGCCCAGCCUGGGAAACAUCAGUGGAGGCUCGCUGGAAGAAAAUGGGCCAUUGUCAUGGAGAAACAACAGACUUCUGCAGGAACAAGAGCUUCAGCUUGAAGCUUUGCAAGAUAGAUCCCUACCUGAUGACAAAUGUGGAAUCUGGACAAACCAGAUGCUUUGCAGAUCUGCAUGCACUUGCAUGGGAUCAUCAGUGACUCUGUUGCAUUCCAUUGUCUGGCCCUGGUCCACCAUCAGCUUGGUCACUCCUCCCCCGUGUAGCCCACCAGUUUGUCAUAAAGCUGUACCUACUUGAUACCAAUUCAUUUUUUUCUCUGGCUGUUGUGGUGCACCUAAAAUUUUGCAGGUCACAAAGAGAACAACUGUUAGAAUGUCUGCUUAAAAAUUAACUUGAUUGUGUUUAUUUUUGUAAUUGUACUGGCUUAGAUGACAGAUUUGGCUUAUUUAUUAUAAGCCUUGGAAAUAAGAACACAGUAGUAAUAUGCCCAGCUAUGAUCAGCUGACAGCUACAUGAUCCCACCGCUCCCACAGCCAAUCACAGCUCUUUCUUUUAACACAAUGGUGUAUUUAGAUGUGACGUGCUUCUCGCUAAUCCCUGCUUACAUUAAUGCUGAUGCACCAUGUUG